GGGCUUAUAGCUCAGUUGGUUAGAGCGCAUCCCUGAUAAGGAUGAGGUCGCUAGUUCGACUCUAGCUAAGCCCACCA
rnacentral:tRNA from 1 species